AACGUAGGAGACAAACGUUAUCCGGAGUUACUGGGCGUAAAGGGCGUGCAGGUGGUCUGUUAAGUCUGGCGUGAAAGCUCUCGGCUAAACCGGGAGAGGUCGUUGGAUACUGGCGGACUAGAGGACGGUAGAGGCGUGUGGAAUUCCGGGUGUAGUGGUGAAAUGCGUAGAGAUCCGGAGGAACACCAGUGGCGAAGGCGACACGCUGGGCCGUACCUGACACUAAAGCGCGACAGCAUGGGGAGCAAACGGG
rnacentral:rRNA from 1 species